GUGGGGAAUUUUGGACAAUGGGGGCAACCCUGAUCCAGCCAUUCCGCGUGAGUGAAGAAGGCCUUCGGGUUGUAAAGCUCUUUCGGCAGGAACGAAACGGUGAGCUCUAACAUAGCUCGCUAAUGACGGUACCUGAAGAAGAAGCACCGGCUAACUACGUGCCAGCAGCCGCGGUAAUACGUAGGGUGCGAGCGUUAAUCGGAAUUACUGGGCGUAAAGCGUGCGCAGGCGGUUGUGUAAGACAGGUGUGAAAUCCCCGGGCUUAACCUGGGAACUGCGCUUGUGACUGCACGGCUAGAGUAUGGCAGAGGGGGGUGGAAUUCCACGUGUAGCAGUGAAAUGCGUAGAGAUGUGGAGGAACACCGAUGGCGAAGGCAGCCCCCUGGGCCAAUACUGACGCUCAUGCACGAAAGCGUGGGGAGCAAACAGGAUUAGAUACCCGUGUAGUCC
rnacentral:rRNA from 1 species